rnacentral:lncRNA from 1 species
CAGUGUAUAAACAAAAUAAGUUUUUAAAAUGCAUCUGUGUUUUAGGUUGGUGUUUCCAGGCCGAGAGUUCACCAGGAUAUACUGAGGAAAGAAACUAAAUCCAGUACAGCAAUGCUUGAUUUGUCUGCAGUGAGAUCUGGUGACUUAGAAACAGAAGAUCUUACACUACCAUUUAAUGAAUCUGUCCAUGGGCAUUCUGACACUGGAGAGAGGAUGUCUCAGAAAUUUGAGGACAUGUCCAGUAAACCAGCACCAGAUGAUAAAAAAUACAGGAAUAAAAGAAAA